GAUGAACGCUGGCGGCGUGCCUAAUACAUGCAAGUCGAGCGAACGGACGAGAAGCUUGCUUCUCUGAUGUUAGCGGCGGACGGGUGAGUAACACGUGGAUAACCUACCUAUAAGACUGGGAUAACUUCGGGAAACCGGAGCUAACACCGGAUGAUAUUUUGAACCGCAUGGUUCAAAAGUGAAAGACGGUCUUGCUGUCACUUAUAGAUGGAUCCGCGCUGCAUUAGCUAGUUGGUAAGGUAACGGCUUACCAAGGCAACGAUGCAUAGCCGACCUGAGAGGGUGAUCGGCCACACUGGAACUGGGACACGGUCCAGACUCCUACGGGAGGCAGCAGUAGGGAAUCUUCCGCAAUGGGCGAAAGCCUGACGGAGCAACGCCGCGUGAGUGAUGAAGGUCUUCGGAUCGUAAAACUCUGUUAUUAGGGAAGAACAUAUGUGUAAGUAACUGUGCACAUCUUGACGGUACCUAAUCAGAAAGCCACGGCUAACUACGUG
rnacentral:rRNA from 1 species